rnacentral:rRNA from 1 species
AGUGAACGCUGGCGGCGUGCUUAACACAUGCAAGUCGAACGAGAACGGGUUAUAGCUUGCUAUAAUUGUCAGCUAAGUGGCGCACGGGUGAGUAAUGUAUAGGUAAUAUGCCUCUUACUAAGGGAUAACAAUUGGAAACGAUUGCUAAUACCUUAUACUCCUUAUUAACCUAAGUUAAUAAGGGAAAGAUUUAUUGGUAAGAGAUUAGCCUGUAUUGUAUCAGUUAGUUGGUGGGGUAAUGGCCUACCAAGACUAUGACACAUAACUGGUUUGAGAGGAUGAUCAGUCACACUGGAACUGAGACACGGUCCAGACUCCUACGGGAGGCAGCAGUGAGGAAUAUUGGACAAUGGUCGGAAGACUGAUCCAGCCAUGCCGCGUGAAGGUUACAGUCCUAUGGAUUUUAAACUUCUUUUGUAUGGAAGCAAUAAGGUGUACGCGUACACCGAUGAGAGUCCCAUACGAAUAAGCAUCGGCUAACUCCGUGCCAGCAGCCGCGGUAAUACGGAGGAUGCAAGCGUUAUCCGGAUUUAUUGGGUUUAAAGGGUGCGUAGGCGGAUAUGUAAGUCAGCGGUGAAACUCACAGGCUCAACCUGUGCCGUGCCGUUGAAACUGUGUAUCUGGAAUGCGGAUGCUGUGGGAGGAAUGUGUAGUGUAGCGGUGAAAUGCAUAGAUAUUACACAGAACACCGAUUGCGAAGGCAUCUCACAAAGCCGUUAUUGACGCUGAGGCACGAAAGUGUGGGGAUCAAACAGGAUUAGAUACCCUGGUAGUCCACUACUGUAAACUAUGAUAACUCGCUGCCAGCGACAGACAGUUGGUGGCCCAGCGAAAGCGAUAAGUUAUCCACCUGGGGAGUACGACCGCAAGGUUGAAACUCAAAGGAAUUGACGGGGGCCCGCACAAGCGGAGGAACAUGUGGUUUAAUUCGAUGAUACGCGAGGAACCUUACCCGGGCUCGAACGGCAGAUGUCGUAUACAGAGACGUAUACUCUCUUCGGAGCGUCUGUCGAGGUGCUGCAUGGUUGUCGUCAGCUCGUGCCGUGAGGUGUCGGCUUAAGUGCCAUAACGAGCGCAACCCUUGUCGAUAGUUGCCAUCGGGUCAAGCCGGGGACUCUAUCGAGACUGCCUCCGUAAGGUGAGAGGAAGGGGGGGAUGACGUCAAAUCAGCACGGCCCUUACGUCCGGGGCGACACACGUGUUACAAUGGUGGUUACAGAGGGCUGCUCCCUGGUGACAGGCUGCCAAUCUCCAAAAGCCAUCUCAGUUCGGAUCGGAGUCUGCAACUCGACUCCGUGAAGUUGGAUUCGCUAGUAAUCGCACAUCAGCCAUGGUGCGGUGAAUACGUUCCCGGGCCU